rnacentral:rRNA from 1 species
GUGUCAGCAGCCGCGGUAAGACAGAGGGUGCAAACGUUGUUCGGAAUUACUGGGCGUAAAGCGCAUGUAGGCGGCCAAGCAGGUCGGAUGUGAAAUCCCUCGGCUCAACCAAGGAAGUGCAUUCGAAACCGCAUGGCUCGAGUCCCGGAGAGGAAGGUGGAAUUCUCGGUGUAGAGGUGAAAUUCGUAGAUAUCGAGAGGAACACCGGUGGCGAAAGCGGCCUUCUGGACGAGGACUGACGCUGAGAUGCGAAAGCGUGGGGAGCAAACAGGAUUAGAAACCCGAGUAGUCC